CCUACUGCUGCCUCCCGUAGGAGUUUGGGCCGUGUCUCAGUCCCAAUGUGGCCGGUCACCCUCUCAGGUCGGCUAUGGAUCGUCGCCUUGGUGGGCCGUUACCUCACCAACUAGCUAAUCCAACGCGGGUCCAUCUUAUACCACCGGAGUUUUUCGCACUGCAUCAUGCGAUGCUGUGCGCUUAUGCGGUAUUAGCAGCCGUUUCCAACUGUUAUCCCCCUGUACAAGGCAGGUUACCCACGCGUUACUCACCCGUCCGCCACUCAGUCACAAAAUAAUCAGUCCCGAAGGAAAUCAAAUAAAGUGCUUCGUUCGACUUGCAUGUGUUAAGCACGCCGCCAGCGUUCGUCCUG
rnacentral:rRNA from 1 species